AUGUUGGAAGCUAAGCAGGGUCGGCCCUGGUUGGUACUUGGAUGGGAGACCGGCAACGAAUACUAGACAAUAUUUCAGAGAAAGGAAUCCUUGCUGA
rnacentral:miRNA from 11 species